rnacentral:rRNA from 1 species
UACGGGGGGAGCAAGCGUUGUUCGGAUUUACUGGGCGUAAAGGGCGCGUAGGCGGCCUCUGCAAGUCGACUGUGAAAUCUCCGGGCUUAACCCGGAAAGGUCAGCCGAUACUGCGGGGCUAGAGUGCAGAAGGGGCAACUGGAAUUCUCGGUGUAGCGGUGAAAUGCGUAGAUAUCGAGAGGAACACCUGCGGCGAAGGCGGGUUGCUGGGCUGACACUGACGCUGAUUGUGCGAAAGCUAGGGGAGCGAACGGG